rnacentral:lncRNA from 1 species
UUGUGCUUGCUUAUACUCUUUACUGAUAUAGUUUUAAUUUGCGUGGAAUGAUGCAUCAGAAAGAUGAAUUUGCUAAUACAAAGAGUCAUAGUAGUUAUCCUAAUAUGCAAGGGCCAGUAAAUACAAGUUAUCCUCUAGGUGUUUCCUUUAAUAGACCUCAAGAUAGAUAGAUGCCCAUGAUGCAAGAAUGCAGUAUAAUCCUUAUCAGGUAAGAUAAUAUGUUGCUAACGUUUCAUCGACCACUAUACACUACUCCCCGGGUUUGAUAACACUUUUGACCAAGACUUUUAGCCAUGAUGAUCUUUCAGUAAUUUCUUUGAAAGAAAGCAAGCUAAUUGAAGAUUUCACUAGGAAACUUUGGAUAAAAAAUGAUGUCAAUUUAUGGGAGGAAUUAAGGUUAUGUCAUUUGGUGCCAAACUUCUCAUUCCCUCUUUGUGAGCUGAGAAAUGUGGAAAAGGCCGAUACAUGGUCCCUUUGAUGUUGCUAUAGGCCUAUAGCUGAUAUUAAGCAUUCUCAAACUGUUGUAAAGGUUAAGACUUAAGAGUAGGAGUUCCUGAAUUUAAAUUAUAGGUAAAUUACCUAAGAAAAUAUUUACAAUUUGCAAGUGGUUCAAACGUUGUGGUUGAAGGGUUUCUAAAAGAGACAAGCGGUCCUAUCUCUCGAUUCAAUUAGCUCUCUCUUUACAAAGUGAUAUUUUCUACUUCUAUGUCCCUUUGUGAUUUACUUUAAUCUAUCCUCAUCUGCUCCAUCCUUUGAUGCAGCUGUGGGCCUUUUUUUGGCUCUUCAUCUCAACCAGUUAGAGCAUCUCC